UACAGAGGGGGCAAGCGUUGUUCGGAAUUACUGGGCGUAAAGGGCGCGUAGGCGGCCCGCUAAGUCGAACGUGAAAUCCCCGAGCUCAACUCGGGAACUGCGUCCGAUACUGGCGGGCUUGAAUCCGGGAGAGGGAUGCGGAAUUCCAGGUGUAGCGGUGAAAUGCGUAGAGAUCGGGAGGAACACCAGAGGCGAAGGCGGCUCACUGGACAGUUACUGACACUCAACUACGAAAGCGUGGGGAGCAAACAGG
rnacentral:rRNA from 1 species